UGGCGAACGGGUGAGUAACACGUGAGCAACCUGCCCUUGGCUCUGGGAUAACUCCGGGAAACCGGGGCUAAUACCGGAUACGACCUCCGCAGGCACCUGUGGUGGUGGAAAGAACUUCGGCCAAGGAUGGGCUCGCGGCCUAUCAGCUUGUUGGUGGGGUAAUGGCCCACCAAGGCGACGACGGGUAGCCGGCCUGAGAGGGCGAUCGGCCACACUGGGACUGAGACACGGCCCAGACUCCUACGGGAGGCAGCAGUGGGGAAUAUUGCGCAAUGGGCGAAAGCCUGACGCAGCAACGCCGCGUGGGGGAUGAAGGCCUUCGGGUUGUAAACCUCUUUCAGCAGGGAAGAAGCGAAAGUGACGGUACCUGCAGAAGAAGCACCGGCUAACUACGUGCCAGCAGCCGCGGUAAUACGUAGGGUGCAAGCGUUGUCCGGAAUUAUUGGGCGUAAAGAGCUCGUAGGUGGUUUGUCGCGUCUGCUGUGAAAAUUCGGGGCUCAACCCCGGACUGGCAGUGGGUAC
rnacentral:rRNA from 1 species